rnacentral:rRNA from 1 species
GAGUUUGAUCAUGGCUCAGAUUGAACGCUGGCGGCAUGCCUUACACAUGCAAGUCGAACGGCAGCACGGGAGCUUGCUCCUGGUGGCGAGUGGCGAACGGGUGAGUAAUGCAAUCGGAACGUAUCCUGGGAGUGGGGGAUAACGUAGCGAAAGUUACGCUAAUACCGCAUAUUCUGUGGAGCAGGAAAGCGGGGGACCUUCGGGCCUCGCGCUCUUGGAGCGGGCCGAUGUUCGGAUUUAGGCUAGUUGGUGAGGUAAAGGCUCACCAAGGCGACGAUCCGUAGCAGGUCUGAGAGGAUGAUCUGCCACACUGGAA